rnacentral:rRNA from 1 species
CCUACGGGAGGCAGCAGUGGGGAAUAUUGCGCAAUGGGCGAAAGCCUGACGCAGCGACGCCGCGUGAGGGAUGAAGGUCUUCGGAUCGUAAACCUCUGUCAGCAGGGAAGAACGGUCACUGUGCUAAUCAGCAGUGAAUUGACGGUACCUGCAAAGGAAGCACCGGCUGAACCCGUGCCAGCAGCCGCGGUAAUACGGAGGGUGCGAGCGUUAAUCGGAAUUACUGGGCGUAAAGCGCUCGUAGGCGGUAUGUCAAGUCAAGGGUGAAAUCCCCGCGCUCAACGUGGGAACUGCCUUUGAAACUGGCAGACUGGAGAGUGUGGGAGGAUAGUGGAAUGCCAGGUGUAGGAGUGAAAUCCGUAGAUAUCUGGAGGAACAUCAGUGGCGAAGGCGACUAUCUGGCACAUAACUGACGCUGAGGAGCGAAAGCGUGGGUAGCAAACAGGAUUAGAUACCCGGGUAGUC